UGUCACAGUAAACGAAAGAAGUAGAGGGUGAGGCUGUUACACAGAAAGAAGAGGAAGAAAACGAUUAUACUUUUUUUCGGAGUGAAUGAAGGAGAGAUAACUGUCAUAUUGAAGGAGGAGGAAGGAAGAAGAGGAGGAGACAGAAGAUCUGAGUCACACCAGAGAGAGACCAGACUCUCCUUCUGACAGCAGGAAGAGUCCUUCAGGGAAACCAGACCCCGAGAUGUCCAAACCAGCAGGACGACAUCACUGCUCCCAGUGUGGAAAGAGUUUUACUCAGUUAGGGAGCCUGAGAACACAUAAGAGAAUACACACUGGAGAGAAGCCUUACCACUGUUCCCAAUGUGGAAUGUCGUUUACCCAGUUAGGGAGCCUGCAAACACAUGAGAGGGGACACACAGGGGAAAAGCUUUUCCAAUGUUCCCAUUGUGGAAAGAGUUUUGGCCAGGUAGGAAACCUGAACAAGCAUGAGAGGACACACACAGGUAAGAAGAUGUACCGCUGCUCCCAGUGUGGAGAGAGAUUUACCCGGUUAAGGUACCUGAAAGAGCAUGAAGGAAUACAUACAAAUACACAGGAGGAGAAGACAUACCACUGCUCUCAUUGUGGAAAGACAUUUUCCCAGUCAGAGAACCUGAAAACACAUGAGAGAAUCGAGAGGCUGUGUUCUGACUUGUGUUUUUGACUGAGAAUGUGUGUGUUUGUUUGGGCUGUCAGACUUGAGUUCACUUUGUGUAAUGUUAGUGCACUAUUUUUAAUUGUGAUUAAUCCAUUGUCUGAAAGGGUUGAAAACACACUGAAAACAUCCAGAAUACAUCCUAUAUACAGCUAGAAUCUACAAUGCCAUGUAAACACAAGAUGACAUUGAGGUUAAAUAAAGUGUGAUUUAUCAAUGGAACAUA